rnacentral:rRNA from 1 species
AACGAACGCUGGCGGCAUGCCUAACACAUGCGAGUCGAACGAGACCUUCGGGUCUAGUGGCGCACGGGUGCGUAACGCGUGGGAACCUGCCCUUAGGUUCGGAAUAACUCCCCGAAAGGGGUGCUAAUACCGGAUAAUGUCUUCGGACCAAAGAUUUAUCGCCUUUGGAUGGGCCCGCGUUGGAUUAGCUAAUUGGUAGGGUAAAAGCCUACCAAGGCGACGAUCCAUAGCUGGUCUGAGAGGAUGAUCAGCCACACUGGGACUGAGACACGGCCCAGACUCCUACGGGAGGCAGCAGUGGGGAAUAUUGGACAAUGGGCGAAAGCCUGAUCCAGCAAUGCCGCGUGAGUGAUGAAGGCCUUAGGGUUGUAAAGCUCGUUUACCCGGGAUGAUAAUGACAGUACCGGGAGAAUAAGCUCCGGCUAACUCCGUG